CUAUACCUGUGUUAUCUGUAACACUAAUAAAGAAGACUAAAACUGCCAUUUUAGUGCCAAAUGCUCUCAUUAUAGCUACAGUCUCAGAUAGGUACAUGUUCGUCUCUUUUCUGUCCAGAGACACUGUUUACAAACUGUUAAAAUCUGUUUGCAGUCAUCUAGAGGAUGUGAGUGUUGGCAACAGUCCUAAUCCUUCUCCCCUAGAAAGUAGUUUCAGAGCUGAUCGUCCUACAACAUUACCUCUGGUAAGUUUAUUUUUGAAGAGAAAAAUAUUUAUAAUGGAGAACUACAUUAGAAAUAGCCUUUUUUAUAAAAUAAAAUAAAAUAUUUUAUUAAUUUUAUUUAUGUACUGGAAUUUCUAUAGUUUCUAAUGGCUCUGAGUGGCUUAUGACCAGCAAUAGAAAUUUAAUUGCUGUCAAAAUAUACCAGCAGACAUCUAGACGAUGUCUUAUUCAGAAUAAGUAGGUUAAUUUUCAUUGUCCCCAAACAUUUUCUGAAUAUCCAUAUCUUCAAGAGACCCUCUGAAGGGACCCUUAAUAAAAUUUCUCUCCCACCUAUUAUCGCAUGGGCACAUUCAACCUGUGAAAGUAGUAUUUUCAAAGAUAGUCAAGUGUUGAGCCAUGAAGAGCAUAUUACAAUAUUCAGCCAUGAGAUGACAAAAGCAUAAAUUAUUUUUAUUUUAUAUUGUUUAGACUUCUAUGCCGCCCAUCUCAUCAAGGUGACUCUGUUAUAACGUACAAUAGCUCCUCAUACAGAAAAGGGUACAACUCAUGUACAUGACAUAAUUCUGCAAGGAUCCUCCUAACAUAUACUAGAAUUAAAGUCUACUUUACCAGAGGCAUGAAAUUUAUCCUAUAUCAUCUGUAUGCAUACACCCAUUCACACAUAUAAAUAUAUAGUUAGACCCCCAU